GGAUAAUCUCUGGCGGGUGGCGGGAUCUCGCCAGGCUUAAGCGCCUCCCGUUGCUUCCUCUUAGCUACAAUGCGCUCGCUGACUGUACGUCAUCAGCUGCUUUAAUCUCUGCGCCGGUGGAACUCCUCGCUCCACCACCAGCACUAUCCGGGCCCACUGCCGCUGCCAUUCGUUCCUCGUCUCCGCUAUCUUCUGGUUUUCUCGAAAUUUCGAUGCUGUUACAAGCGCCAUUAUCAAAAAGGCGCGAAAGUAUAACAUAGUUUUUUGUUCUUAAUGUAAAAUGACCAAACAACAGAGCUUCGCGAACUACUGCCACGAUGAAAGAGCAUGUAGUUCUAAAUACUACUAUACUUUAGUAUCAUCACUACAUAGUAUAAAAAUAACAUAUAUAUAUAACCAUGACCACGACCCUCAGUAAUGAGGAAACCGACGCAAGGAGGAGAGUAUAAAACUACG